GGGAUCAUAGUUUCAAUCAGGUAAAACGGUAAUUUUGCAUGUUAUUUUUGUCAGUUCAAGUCUGGCUGAUUCCA
rnacentral:tRNA from 1 species